UACGGGGGGAGCAAGCGUUGUUCGGAUUUACUGGGCGUAAAGGGCGCGUAGGCGGUCGUGACAAGUCACUUGUGAAAUCUCCGGGCUUAACUCGGAACGGUCAAGUGAUACUGUCGGACUAGAGUACAGAAGGGGCAACUGGAAUUCUCGGUGUAGCGGUGAAAUGCGUAGAUAUCGAGAGGAACACCUGCGGCGAAGGCGGGUAGCUGGGCCGACACUGACGCUGAGGCGCGAAAGCCAGGGGAGCGAACAGG
rnacentral:rRNA from 1 species